UACAGAGGUCUCAAGCGUUGUUCGGAUUCAUUGGGCGUAAAGGGUGCGUAGGUGGCGCCGUAAGUCAGGUGUGAAAUCUCGGGGCUCAACCUGGGAACUGCAUCCGAAACUGCCUUGCUAGAGUAUGGGAGAGGGAAGUGGAAUUUCCGGUGUAGCGGUGAAAUGCGUAGAUAUCGGAAGGAACAUCAGUGGCGAAGGCGACUUCCUGGACCAAUACUGACGCUCAGGUGCGAAAGCGUGGGGAGCAAACAGG
rnacentral:rRNA from 1 species